UGCAGUAAUGAAUGUAUAAAUAUAUAAGAUUUACUAUAAUGGAUUAUAACCAUGUAUUACUUGUACUAUAUACAUCUUUUAAAUGUUUUACUCUAAGCUGUUAGAGCUAACAAACUUUUUAUCAUGUAGCAGUGAUUCUUACUAUCUCGGUUGAUUACGUGACCUCAAACCAACGCUUUGUUAAUUAGUACCAACUGAUUAUAUGACAUUGGAUUGUCCUCUACAGUUGUGUAGUUCAUUAUGUCUUCUGUGGUACAGCUUCUAUUAUGGGAUACCUACCCUUUGAAGUAACCUCCUGCGAAAGGUUUCAAGGCGAGCGCUCUGCCGGCAGCUGCGACAUUCAUGUGUUUCAGGUUGUAUAUGUUGGGGAGAUUGUGAUGGACCGGCUAAUUCAUCAGCUGUUGGCCGCUGUCUAGCAACACCAGCUGGGGUAUUCACUGUUGAAGGUGUCUGGGAUAUAGCUGAAG